GACGAACGCUGGCGGCGUGCUUAACACAUGCAAGUCGAACGGAAAGGCCCUGCUUUUGUGGGGUGCUCGAGUGGCGAACGGGUGAGUAACACGUGAGUAACCUGCCCUUGACUUUGGGAUAACUUCAGGAAACUGGGGCUAAUACCGGAUAGGAGCUCCUGCUGCAUGGUGGGGGUUGGAAAGUUUCGGCGGUUGGGGAUGGACUCGCGGCUUAUCAGCUUGUUGGUGGGGUAGUGGCUUACCAAGGCUUUGACGGGUAGCCGGCCUGAGAGGGUGACCGGCGACAUUGGGACUGCGAGACGGCCCAGACUCCUACGGGAGGCAGCAGUGGGGAAUAUUGCGGAAUGGGCGGAAGCCUGAUGCAGCAACGCCGCGUGCGGGAUGACGGCCUUCGGGUUGUAAACCGCUUUCGCCUGUGACGAAGCGUGAGUGACGGUAAUGGGUAAAGAAGCACCGGCUAACUACGUG
rnacentral:rRNA from 1 species